rnacentral:rRNA from 1 species
AUUGAACGCUGGCGGCAGGCGUGACACAUGCAAGUCGAGCGAGCGGCGGACGGGUGAGUAAUGUCUGGGAAACUGCCUGAUGGAGGGGGAUAACUACUGGAAACGGUAGCUAAUACCGCAUACCAUCAGAUGUGCCCAGAUGGGCUUAGCUAGUAGGUGGGGUAAUGGCGCACCUAGGCGACGAUCCCUAGCUGGUCUGAGAGGAUUACCAGACACACUGGAACGGAGAAACGGGCCAGACUCCUACGGGAGGCAGCAGUGGGGAAUAUUGCACAAUGGGCGCAAGCGUGAUGCAGCCAUGCCGCGUGUAUGAAGAAGGCCUUCGGGUUGUAAAGCAAUUUCAGCGAGGAGGCGUUACUCGCAGAAGAAGCACCGGAUAACUACGUGCCAGCAGCCGCGGUAAUUC